AAGUCGUAACAAGGUCUCCGUAGGUGAACCUGCGGAGGGAUCAUUACAGAGCUCAUGCCCUAACGGGUAGGAUCUCCCACCCUAUGUUAUCCAUUCACCAUGUUUGCUUUGGUCGGGCCGUUGCGAGGCUCAGCGCUCGGCUACCGGCUCUGGCUGGUAAGCGCCCAGCCACGAGGACCUCCAAAACCCUGAAUAUUCGUGUCGUCUGAGUACCAUAUAAUAGUUAAAA
rnacentral:misc_RNA from 1 species